GGUCUUGGUGGGCGACGACCCCGGGCCGCUCUACUACAGCGACGAGGACCGGGACGGCGAGUUCCAUCUCACCGAGGCGG
rnacentral:tRNA from 1 species